rnacentral:rRNA from 1 species
UACAGAGGGUGCAAGCGUUGUUCGGAAUUAUUGGGCGUAAAGGGAGUGUAGGCGGUUAUCUAAGUCUUCUGUGAAAUCUACGGGCUUAGCCUGUAAAGUGCAGAGGAAACUGGGUGACUAGAGUGUCGGAGAGGAUAGGGGAAUACCCAGUGUAGAGGUGAAAUUCGUAGAGAUUGGGUGGAACACCAGUGGCGAAGGCGCCUGUCUGGCUGACAACUGACGCUGAGACUCGAAAGCAUGGGGAGCAAACAGG